rnacentral:lncRNA from 1 species
GGACAACUUAUGCAUUGCAUAAGUGCAUUGUUUAUAAAUAACCUGUAAUAUUACAUCAGUCCCAAACUUCUGCAUGCUCUUUUUCUUCUAGGGCUUGGUUGAUCAUUUUAUGAACCAAUUUCCUGAGAUCUCAGCACACUUCAUGCUUUGCGGUUUCUCCUGGGCUCACCUUUCAGGAGCUAUAGCCAGUGACUGCAGUAUGGCUUGACUACAUGUUUUUGCACCUGUUUUGGCUGCAAUGUUCAGAGGUUUGUCUUGUGGGUCCAAGCAGUCCUGUCUGGAUG